UACGGGGGGGGCAAGCGUUGUUCGGAAUUACUGGGCGUAAAGGGCUCGUAGGUGGCCAACUAAGUCAGACGUGAAAUCCCCAGGCUCAACCUGGGAACUGCGUCUGAUACUGGAUGGCUUGAAUCCGGGAGAGGGAUGCAGAAUUCCAGGUGUAGCGGUGAAAUGCGUAGAUAUCUGGAGGAAUACCGGUGGCGAAGGCGGCAUCCUGGACCGGCAUUGACGCUGAGGCGCGAAAGCGUGGGGAGCAAACAGG
rnacentral:rRNA from 1 species